rnacentral:rRNA from 1 species
AGUAGUCCGCGGCACAGGUCGGCGGGUAUCUGGUGGGUGUAAUUGUUUUCCGUAUUGGUGGGGUUUUGAUGGUCCGGAGGCGGACUUAUAAUGGAGUGGUGAAAGCCUGUCGCAUAACGAUAUAACUUCCAUUGAUACUGUAAGUCGUGAGUAUAAUUUAGGUAGCUGGAAUAAUGAGUGUAGCGGUGAAAGGCAUAGAUAUUACUUAGAACACCAGUUGCGAAGGCAGGUUACCAAGUUAUAACUGACGCUGAGGGACGAAAGCGUGGGGAGCGAACAGGAUUAGAUACCCGUGUAGUC